rnacentral:rRNA from 1 species
UGAAGCCUGAGACGCAAUGCCGAUCCGUUUAAGGAGAAGUCACUAAUCCCAUGCUGCCUAGAAAAGCCUCUAGCGAGCUUACAUGGUACCCGUACCCCAAACCGACACAGGUGGGCAGGUAGAGAAUACCAAGGCGAUCGGGAGAACUGUGGUUAAGGAACUCGGCAAAAUGCCUCCGUAACUUCGGGAGAAGGAGGACCCCAUCAGGGUGAAGGACCUCGCGUCCGGAGCUCGAAGGGGUGGCACAGACCAGGGGAAAGCGGCUGUUUUACUAAAAACACAGCAGCGUGCGAAGUCGCAAGACGAUGUAUACGCUGUGACGCCUGCCCAAUGCCGGAAGGUUAAAGGGAAAGGUUAGUCCGCAAGGGCGAAGCUUUGAACUGAAGCCCCGGUGAAUGGCGGCCGUAACUAUAACGGUCCUAAGGUAGCGAAAUUCCUUGUCGGGUAAGUUCCGACCUGCACGAAUGGCGUAACGACUUUCCUACUGUCUCAACCACAGACCCGGCGAAAUUGAAGUACGAGUAAAGAUGCUCGUUAGCUACAGAAGGACGGAAAGACCCCGCGGACCUUUACUAUAGCUUGAUGUUGAGUUUUGUUAUGUGUUGUGUAGGAUAGGUGGGAGACUUGGAAGCAUUGGCGCCAGCCAGUGUGGAGUCAACCUUGAAAUACCACCCUGCUCAUGACGGAGCUCUAACCCACGUCCCUGAUCGGGAUGGGGAACAGCGUCUGGUGGGUAGUUUGACUGGGGCGGUCGCCUCCUAAAGAGUAACGGAGGCGCCCAAAGGUUCCCUCAGGCUGGUUGGCAAUCAGCCGUCGAGUGCAAUGGCACAAGGGAGCUUGACUGCGAGACCUACAAGUCAAGCAGGUGCGAAAGCAGGGCAUAGUGAUCCGGCGGUUGCGUGUGGAAGCGCCGUCGCUCAACGGAUAAAAGGUACCCCGGGGAUAACAGGCUCAUCUUCCCCAAGAGUCCAUAUCGACGGGAAGGUUUGGCACCUCGAUGUCGGCUCAUCGCAUCCUGGGGCUGAAGCAGGUCCCAAGGGUUGGGCUGUUCGCCCAUUAAAGCGGUACGCGAGCUGGGUUUAGAACGUCGUGAGACAGUUCGGUCCCUAUCCUCUGUAGCCGGAAGGAACUUGAGAAAGCCUGUCCCUAGUACGAGAGGACCGGGAUGGACGCAGCUCUGGUGUGCAGUUGUCCUGCCAAGGGCAUUGCUGGUUAGCUACCUGCGGAAGGGAUAAGCGCUGAAAGCAUCUAAGUGCGAAGCCUGUUUCUAGAUGAGGUUCCUCACUGGGUCAACCAGGUAAGGCCCGUGGCAGACCACCACGUUGAUAGGCCGGAGGUGUAAGCGUGGUAACACGUUCAGCCGACCGGUACUAAUCGGCCGAGGGCUUGGACC